GAGUCAAUGUGGAGGCUAUAUACAGGGUAUUACGGUACAGAGUCAAUGUGGAGGCUAUAUACAGGGGGUACCGGUACAGAGUCAAUGUGGAGGCUAUAUACAGGGGGUACCGGUACAGAGUCAAUGUGGAGGCUAUAUACAGGGGGGUACCGGUACAGAGUCAAUGUGGAGGCUAUAUACAGGGGGUACUGGUACAGAGUCAAUGUGGAGGCUAUAUACAGGGGGUACCGGUACAGAGUCAAUGUGGAGGCUAUAUACAGGGGGUACCAGUACAGAGUCAAUAUGGAGGCUAUAUACAGGGGGUACCGGUACAGAGUCAAUGUGGAGGCUAUAUACAGGGGGUACCGGUACAGAGUCAAUGUGGAGGCUAUAUACAGGGGGUACCGGUACAGAGUCAAUGUGGAGGCUAUAUACAGGGGGUACCGGUACAGAGUCAAUGUGGAGGCUAUAUACAGGGGGUACCGGUACAGAGUCAAUGUGGAGGCUAUAUACAGGGGGGUACCGGUACAGAGUCAAAGUGGAGGCUAUAUACAGGGGGUACUGGUACAGAGUCAAUGUGGAGGCUAUAUACAGGGGGUACCGGUACAGAGUCAAUGUGGAGGCUAUAUACAGGGG
rnacentral:lncRNA from 1 species